GUUUUGGAUUUUGAGCCACACCCAGCGCUGCUCAGGGCUUACUCCUGACUCUACUCACGGAUCAUUCCUGGCUGGCUCGUGGACCAUACAGAUGGGAUGCUGAGGAUCCAACUCUGAUUGGAAACACUUCUGCUCAUCACUGAAGCUAUCAAUAAGAACCAAUAGAUGUUUAUACCUUGAACAUUUGAGCAUUUGAUCAUUUGCAUGAAGUCAAGCUGCCAAUCCUCUUCCAGUUACCAGAGAGUGAAACGGACCCUCUGUGUCUAAAGACUUUGAUUCCAGAGACCUAACGCAUUCGGGCAUCCAGCGCAGCUUCUAAUAGCAAUGCACUGGGACUGUGAACUGGGCUACAACUCCAUACUGCCU